rnacentral:rRNA from 1 species
GACGAACGCUGGCGGCGUGCUUAACACAUGCAAGUCGAACGGAAAGGCCCUGCUUUUGUUGGGUUCUCGAUUGGCGAACGGGUGAGUAACACGUGAGUAACCUGCCCUUGACUUUGGGAUAACUUCAGGAAACUGGGGCUAAUACCGGAUAGGAGCUCCUGCUGCAUGGUGGGCGUUGGAAAGUUUUGGCUGUUGGGGAUGGACUCGCGGCUUAUCAGCUUGUUGGUGGGGUAGUGGCUUACAAAGGCUUUGACGGGUAGCCGGCCUGAGAGGGUGACCAGCCACAUUGGGACUGCGGUACGGCCCAGACUCCUACGGGAGGCAGCAGUGGGGAAUAUUGCACAAUGGGCGGAAGCCUGAUGCAGCAACGCCGCGUGCGGGAAGACGGCCUUCGGGUUGUAAACCGCUUUCGCCUGUGACGAAGCGUGAGUGACGGUAAUGGGUAAAGAAGCACCGGCUAACUACGUG